rnacentral:rRNA from 1 species
AACGAACGCUGGCGGCAUGCCUAACACAUGCAAGUCGAACGAUGCCUUCGGGCAUAGUGGCGCACGGGUGCGUAACGCGUGGGAAUCUGCCUUUCGGUUCGGAAUAACUCAGGGAAACUUGAGCUAAUACCGGAUAACGUCGCAAGACCAAAGAUUUAUCACCGAAAGAUGAGCCCGCGUAGGAUUAGCUAGUUGGUGAGGUAAAGGCUCACCAAGGCGACGAUCCUUAGCUGGUCUGAGAGGAUGAUCAGCCACACUGGGACUGAGACACGGCCCAGACUCCUACGGGAGGCAGCAGUGGGGAAUAUUGGACAAUGGGCGAAAGCCUGAUCCAGCAAUGCCGCGUGAGUGAUGAAGGCCUUAGGGUCGUAAAGCUCUUUUACCCGGGAAGAUAAUGACGGUACCGGGAGAAUAAGCCCCGGCUAACUCCGUG